rnacentral:rRNA from 1 species
GGAAGGAUCAUUACCGAAUUGUCAAACACGGGUUGUUGCUGGCCCCCGAACGGGGCAUGUGCACGCUCUGUUUACACAUCCACUCACACCUGUGCACCCUCUGUAGUUCUGUGGACCGGGAGACGUUGUCUUCCUUCCGUAGCUCUACGUCUUUACACACACACCGUAGCGAUGUCUCAUGGAAUGUUUUUUCGCGUUUAACGCAAUACAAUACAACUUUCAGCAACGGAUCUCUUGGCUCUCGCAUCGAUGAAGAACGCAGCGAAAUGCGAUAAGUAAUGUGAAUUGCAGAAUUCAGUGAAUCAUCGAAUCUUUGAACGCACCUUGCGCCCCUUGGUUAUUCCUCGGAGCAUGCCUGUUUGAGUAUCAUGAACACCUCAACUCUCAUGGUCUUCCAUGAUGAGCUUGGACUUUGGGGGUUUGCUGGCCUUGUGGCCAGCUCCUCUCAAAUGAAUCAGCUUGCCAGUGUUUGGCGGCGUCACGGGUGUGAUAACUAUCUACGCUCGCGGUUGUCCGUCAGGUAACCCUCAGCGAUGAAGGUUCAUUGGGGCUCAUAAACGUCUCUCCCCAGCGAGGACAACUUUUGAACGUUCGAUCUCAAAUCA